UGAUGUCAUCAAAUUUGUGAAAAGAUUGUAAACAAGCAAGGUUUCGUGAGAAGGACAGACAUAUUUCUACUGCAAGAUAUAUGUAUCAAAGAAACAAUGGCACUAUGCAGCAAACAGAGCAUAACCAAUUUUGCAAGACAAGAAAAGUACACUGAAAUCUAGUUGGAACAUUCUCAAGAGUCAAAAGAGUAAUUCCUAUGAAAGAACACAAACAAUUAUUGUAUAUUUACAAGUUACUGGAUCAAGACAACUUGCUUCAUUCUGAAAUAUUGAUCAUAUUGUACAGAAGAUAUGUUCGAAUUAUGUUAACCUAAGGAAGAGGAACCAGCACUAAUAAUAUAAUUAAUUUUUCUAAUAUAGGCUGUGUAAAGCAUUUUACUUUUAGCUAAUUGAUUAUGCCUAAUAGUUUGCAAGACAAUUAAAAUAUACUGGAGUCUGAAUAUCUUGCUGAAUACUGAGACAGCUUAAUCAUGGUUUUUAUAUCGAAGGAAUUUAACAAAUUAUUUUAUUUUUAAUGAG